rnacentral:rRNA from 1 species
UACGAAGGGGGCUAGCGUUGUUCGGAAUUACUGGGCGUAAAGCGCGCGUAGGCGGACCUGCAAGUCGGGGGUGAAAGCCCGAGGCUCAACCUCGGAACUGCCUUCGAUACUGCGGGUCUCGAGUCCGGGAGAGGUGAGUGGAAUUCCUAGUGUAGAGGUGAAAUUCGUAGAUAUAGGAAGAACACCAGUGGCGGAAGGCGGCUCACUGGCCCGGUACUGACGCUGAGGCGCGGAAAGCGUGGGGAGCAAACAGG